rnacentral:rRNA from 1 species
AUGCUAGUGUGGAAUGUCCGCGGGCUUAACACUCCGGCCCAGCAGAAUGCAGUGUAUCAGGUGGUGACUACGGCUGCCCCAGCCAUAGUGUGUCUCCAAGAGACAAAGUUGCAGAAUGUAUCGAUGAAUGUUGUAAGACAAUGCCUGGGUGCUAACUUUGAGAAGUUUUUUUGUUGGAAAUAUGCCCUAGAGGCAAUAAUAAAUGGUUAUUAUUAUAUUUCUUUGUUCAUGAUAAUUGUCUAUUGUUCAUGCUAUAAUUGUGUUAUCCGGAAAUCGUAA